AUACUUACCUGGCAGGGGAGAUACCGUAAUCAUGAAAGCAGUCUUCCCAGGACAAGUCAUAUCCAUUACACUCCAAAUGUGCUGAUCCCUGUGAUUUACCCAAAUGUGGGGACUCGACUGCAUAUUUUGUGCUAGUGGGGGACAGCGGUCACUCUCUCCCCUA